UACGUAGGGUGCGAGCGUUGUCCGGAUUUACUGGGCGUAAAGGGCGCGUAGGCGGCCAGCACAAGUCAGUUGUGAAAUCUCCGAGCUUAACUCGGAACGGUCAACUGAUACUGUGCGGCUAGAGUGCGGAAGGGGCAACUGGAAUUCUUGGUGUAGAGGUGAAAUUCGUAGAUAUUGGGAAGAACACCGAUGGCGAAGGCAGCCAUCUGGACCGACACUGACGCUGAGGCGCGAAAGCGUGGGGAGCAAACAGG
rnacentral:rRNA from 1 species